rnacentral:rRNA from 1 species
UACGUAGGGUGCGAGCGUUGUCCGGAAUUAUUGGGCGUAAAGGGCUCGUAGGCGGUCUGUCGCGUCGGGAGUGAAAACUCAGGGCUUAACCCUGAGCCUGCUUCCGAUACGGGCAGACUAGAGGUAUGCAGGGGAGAACGGAAUUCCUGGUGUAGCGGUGGAAUGCGCAGAUAUCAGGAGGAACACCGGUGGCGAAGGCGGCUUGCUGGGCCUUACCUGACGCUGAGGAGCGAAAGCGUGGGGAGCGAACAGG